CGCCGCCUCCCUCUCUGACCCCAAGCUCCCCUUCAAAGUGUUCAGCGUGCCGGAGGCGGCGCCCUUCACCGCGGUGCUCAAGUUCGCCGCCGAGGAGUUCAAGGUCCCGCCCCAGACCAGCGCCAUCAUCACCAAC